AACGGGUGAGUAAUGCGUGACCAACCUGCCCCAUGCUCCAGAGUAGCUCUUGGAAACGGGUGGUAAUGCUGGAUGCUCCAACUUGACGCAUGUCUUGUUGGGAAAGUGUUUAGUGGCAUGGGAUGGGGUCGCGUCCUAUCAGCUUGUAGGCGGGGUAAUGGCCCACCUAGGCUUCGACGGGUAGCCGGCCUGAGAGGGCGGACGGCCACAUUGGGACUGAGAUACGGCCCAGACUCCUACGGGAGGCAGCAGGU
rnacentral:rRNA from 1 species